rnacentral:rRNA from 1 species
GAUGAACGCUGGCGGCGUGCCUAAUACAUGCAAGUCGAGCGAACAGACGAGGAGCUUGCUCCUCUGCCGUUAGCGGCGGACGGGUGAGUAACACGUGGCUAACCGACCUAUAAGACUGGGAUAACUUCGGGAAACCGGAGCUAAUACCGGAUCAUAUAUUGAACCGCAUGGUUCAUUAGUGAACGACGGUUUUGCUGUCACUUAUAGAUGGUUCCGCGCCGCAUUAGCUAGUUGGUAAGGUAACGGCUUACCAAGGCUACGAUGCGUAGCCGACCUGAGAGGGUGAUCGGCCACACUGGAACUGAGACACGGUCCAGACUCCUACGGGAGGCAGCAGUAGGGAAUAUUCCGCAAUGGGCGAAAGCCUGACGGAGCAACGCCGCGUGAGUGAUGAAGGUCUUCGGAUCGUAAAACUCUGUUAUUAGGGAAGAACAAAUGUGUAAGUAACUAUGCACGUCUUGACGGUACCUAAACAGAAAGCCACGGCUAACUACGUG